GGUAGCUGUAGAGGCAGACCUGAAUGGGUGGAUGUUCAACAUCUUUGACUCCAGUAUUGGAUCAAUUUCCGAAAACGAUUUGAUCAGUUUGAUGGUUGACUGGUGUACCAUUUUCCCGUCGGUCUUGCGACAGUCCAGUUUAUUUGAGAACCAUGACGUUAUACUCACGCCUCAGUUGACAGCAUCAGAGAACCAGGUCAGACCCUUCGAUUGGAAACUCACUCCACGUGAAUUCGUACCGCAAACAAAAUCCAGUGGCGAUUGCGGAUGUUACGUAAUUGAGCAUAUCGAACAUAAGCUUCUACAACUACCAUUUGAUAAUGUAACUGACAAUAAUAUGAAAAUUUUUAGGCAAAGGUGGUGUGUAGACUUAUUCUACCAAAACUUAUGUUGAACGGUCUUAAUUUUUUUUAAUUGUAUAAUUUUUUU